rnacentral:rRNA from 1 species
UGCGUAGGUGGUUGUUUAAGUCUGUUGUGAAAGCCCUGGGCUCAACCUGGGAACUGCAGUGGAAACUGGACGACUAGAGUGUGGUAGAGGGUAGCGGAAUUCCUGGUGUAGCAGUGAAGUGCGUAGAGAUCAGGAGGAACAUCCAUGGCGAAGGCAGCUACCUGGACCAACACUGACACUGAGGCACGAAAGCGUGGGGAGCAAACA